UUCCAGACUCCUACGGGAGGCAGCAGUGGGGAAUAUUGCACAAUGGGGGAAACCCUGAUGCAGCGACGCCGCGUGAGUGAAGAAGUAUUUCGGUAUGUAAAGAUCUAUCAGCAGGGAAGAAAAUGACGGUACCUGACUAAGAAGCCCCGGCUAACUACGUGCCAGCAGCCGCGGUAAUACGUAGGGGGCAAGCGUUAUCCGGAUUUACUGGGUGUAAAGGGAGCGCAGGCGGCGUGGCAAGUCAGAUGUGAAAACCCGGGGCCCAACCCCGGGAGUGCAUUUGAAACUGCCAUGCUGGAGUGCCGGAGAGGUAAGCGGAAUUCCUAGUGUAGCGGUGAAAUGCGUAGAUAUUAGGAGGAACACCAGUGGCGGAGGCGGCUUACUGGACGGUAACUGACGCUGAGGCUCGAAAGCGUGGGGAGCAAACAGGAUUAGAUACCCCCGUAAC
rnacentral:rRNA from 1 species